rnacentral:lncRNA from 1 species
AUGCGGUCCAUCACCAUGGCCGAAGGGAGGACAAUGGAAGAGCCUGGAUCAUGUUUCUUGGUGCAGAUGAAAUCUGGUGCUGUUACUUCCACUUGGGUGGACACUUCUGCUCCCAUGGUGGGCAUGGUGGCCCAGGAGGGCAUUUCUGCUGGCUCACUGGAGGUGGGCAUGGAUGGGGUGGGCAAGGCUCAUGGCACUUCGGUGGGCACACUUUUGGAGGUGGAUGGCAGGGCUCCUUGCACUGAUGGUGAUGGUGAUGCUGAUGCUGCUGUGGAUGUGGAUGUGGAUGCGGAUGCGGAUGCGGAGGCAUCCUUCCUGAGACUGCUGUUCUGCUCUCCUCUGGGAGGACAGCUGAGAAAGCAUCCCAGAGCUUCAGAUGGAAGAGCAGUCGCUUUUCUCCUGGGCACCAUCAGAGGAUUCUCUCCCUCUCUUGUAUCUGUCUGUCACCUGGACAGGGGUUUCUACCAGCUGGUCAACUGUUGCUUAUCCUCCUCUUCAUGAAUAAACUACAGUUCCUUUCUGUGAUGGCAAAAACGUUUUCUUUGUUUAAAAAUGCUUUUAGUAAUACCAUAUCAUCAUCUUGUUUUCUUUCUAUCCUUUCAUGCCAAGGUUCAAACUCUCCCAAUCAGCAUUGUCUAAAUUUUGAGCCUUAUCAAAACUUUUGCUUAAUUAUCACUUGAUGGUUUGAGGAACAAGAUAUUUGCCUCUCCAGGUUUUCAGUCCCUUUAGUAAAAUGUAGGGAAAAGUGUAUUUUCAUUUCAACCUUCUGAGGAAUAAAUAUUCAAUGAAUGUGUCUAAUUUAGUUGGCACAUGCCAGAGUCAUAUUUAGCUCUUGGAAGAAAGCAGGUCAUCAUUGUCACCAUCAUCACCACCAUCACCACCACCCCUGUUCUCCUCACCACCAUAUUUGCAGUUGACUCAUUUAGCUCCACAGCUCCACCUUCGUCUUCUCUUCAAAGCGGGUCAUGGAUACAGAAGAAGCUUCUCCAUCCUUCACCCUGCAAUAUGCCUGUGGAGACUCUUGACAGCCAGAGGUUUCCUUCCUGAGGCUGCUACACCACUUGCNNNNNNNNNNNNNNNNNNNNNNNNNNNNNNNNNNNNNNNNNNNNNNNNNNNNNNNNNNNNNNNNNNNNNNNNNNNNNNNNNNNNNNNNNNNNNNNNNNNNUCUGGGAAGACAGCUGAGAAAACACAGUGCUUCAGAGAGAAGAGCAGCAGCUCUCCUCCUGGGCACUAUCAGAAGGUUCUCUCCAUCUUCUGUGUCUGUCUGUCACCUGGGCAGGGGUUUCUACCAACUAGACUAUUGUUCCUUGUUCUCCACUUCCUGAAUAAACUAUAAUUCUCUUUUGUGAUGGCAAAAAUGUUUUCUUUCUAUUAAAAGCACUUAUUGCAAUAGCAUCUUGUGUUUGGGUUUAUCGCUAUCCUUUGAUCCUGAAGUUCCAGCUCCCACAAUCAGUGUUGUCUGAAUUGUGAGUAAUAUCAGAGAUCCUUUCUGAUCUUCCCUGAUGGGUCAGUGGUAAAGAAUCAGCCUGCCAGUGCAGGAGACAUGAGUUCGAUCCCUGGUCCAGGAAGAUCCCACGUUCUGUGGAACAACUAAGCCCACGGGACACAACUAUUAAGCCUGUGCUCUAGAGCCCAGAGUCCGCAACUACUGGCGCACAAGCUGCAGCUACUGAAGUCCAAGCACCCUAGAGCCUGUGCUCCGCAGCAAGAGAAGUCAGUUCCGUGUAAAGUCCGCACACCGCAACAAGCAGCAGCCCCGACUCAUCACAACUAGAGAAAAGCCCAUGUAGCAGUGAAGACCCAGCGUUGCCAAAAUACAUUAAUAAACAAAUACACUGUUUAAAAAACAAAGAAAGCUCUUGUAAAAAAUAUUAUUUCUAUAGAAUUUAAAAUCCAUGACAAUUAUUGCUUGACUAAUUAGAGUAGAAAAUUAUUUAACUCCUCAGAAUUAAAGUCCCUUUACUGAAAUGGGGAAAAUAGUGUUACACUGCAAAAUAUCUGAGGCAUAAAAAUUACAUGAUUGUGUGUAAUUUAAUUUGCACAUGAUGGGGCACAGCAAUGGCACUGGGAAGACAGCAGAUCACCAUUGUCUCCAUCAUCUCCACCAUCACCAUCAUCGCCUCGCCACCAUGCUUGCUCCAGCAGGGAGGUGACCCAGACAUAACUAGCACAGCAACCAAGAAGAUUCAUGAACAUUGUAUCUCUCUCCCUCUGUGUCCUGUUUGAUUUCUUUCAUCAGUGUCUUAUAGUUUCCUGAGUAUAGAUCUUUUACCUCAGCAGGUAGCUUUACCCCUUGGUAUUUUAUUAUUUUUGUUGCAGUGGUAAAUGGGUUUCCUUAAUUUAUCUUUCUAAUCUUUCAUAGCUAGUACAUAGGAAUGCAAGGGAUUUAUGUGCAUUAAUUUUGUAUCCUGCAACCUUACCAGAUUCAAUGAUUAGCCCUAGUAGUCUUCUUGUAACCUCUUUACAAUUUCCUAUGUAUAGUAUCAUGUCAUCUGCAAACAGUGACAGUUUUACUUCUUCUUUUCCAGUUUAGAUUUUUUUAAAUUUAUUUUUCUACUCUG